rnacentral:rRNA from 1 species
CCCCUACGGGAGGCAGCAGUGGGGAAUCUUGCACAAUGGGCGAAAGCCUGAUGCAGCGACGCCGCGUGCGGGAUGAAGGCCUUCGGGUUGUAAACCGCUUUCAGCAGGGACGAGGCGAAAGUGACGGUACCUGCAGAAGAAGCCCCGGCUAACUACGUGCCAGCAGCCGCGGUAAUGGGG